ACCCCAACAGCUAGCUCACCCAAAUAAUUCCAACAAACAACAUUAAUAACCCCGAAAAUAAUUUUCCCAAUGCAACAAACCAUUUUACCAUCCUAGUAUGGGAGACAGAAAAGAAAAAUUUGAAGCUAUAGAAAAAGUACCGCAAGGGAAAGCUGAAAGAGAGCUGAAAAAGCCCAGUAAAGGCGACCAUAGCAGAGACUACCCCUCGUACCUUUUGCAUCAUGAUUUAGCAAGCAUCCCUCGAGCAAAGAGCCCUUUAUGUUCGAAACCCCGAAACUAAGCGAGCUACUCCAAGACAGCCUAUUGCAGGGCAAACCCGUCUCUGUCGCAAAAGAGUGGGAAGAGCUUCGAGUAGAGGUGACAGACCUACCGAGCCUAGUAAUAGCUGGUUACCUGAAAACUGAAUAGAAGUUCAGCCUUUUAUAUUCUUAACCCCACCAUGGUUAAACCGUUCACUGACUAAAAGAAUGUAAAGGAGUUAUUCAAGAGAGGGACAGCUCUCUUGAACAAAGAUACAACUUUUUAAGAAGGCCUAAGAUCAUAGCACCCAAGGCAAUGCACCUAAGUUGGCUUAAAAGCAGCCACCCUUAAAGAAAGCGUUAAAGCUCAAGUGUGAGCCCCCAACAAUACCGAUCAAGUAGUCUUAAGCCCCUAUUUAUAUCAGGUCUAUUCAUUCAUAAAUGAAUAAGAUUAUGCUAAAAUGAGUAAUAAGAGGGCCCAGGCCCUCUCAAGUACACCCGUGUAAAUCAGAGCGAACCCCCACUGAAAAUUAACGCCCCCAACCCCAGAGUGUAGUGAACAAAACAUAAAAACGAGAAAAACCCCCAACACAGUUAGCGUUGACCCCACACAGGAGUGUUUCAUGAAAGACUAAAAGGAAAAGAAGGAACUCGGCAAACACCAGCCUCGCCUGUUUACCAAAAACAUCGCCUCUUGCCCCAUCGUAUAAGAGGUCCUGCCUGCCCUGUGACGAAAGUUUAACGGCCGCGGUAUUUUGACCGUGCGAAGGUAGCGUAAUCACUUGUCUUUUAAAUAGAGACCUGUAUGAAUGGCAUAACGAGGGCUGAGCUGUCUCCUUUUUCCGGUCAACGAAAUUGAUCUGCCCGUGCAGAAGCGGGCAUAACCACAUAAGACGAGAAGACCCUAUGGAGCUUUAGACAUUCAGACACAUCACGUUAAAGACCCCAUCUCCAGGAUUAAACCAGAUGAAAACUGUCUCACUGUCUUUGGUUGGGGCGACCACGGAGAAACAAAAAACCCCCGUGCGGAAGAGGGUCACCCCUCGAAACUAGAGCCACAGCUCUAAUUAGCAGAAUAUCUGACCAUUAGAUCCGGUAUUACCGAUCAACGGACCCAGUUACCCUAGGGAUAACAGCGCAAUCCCCUUUUAGAGCUCAUAUCGACAAGGGGGUUUACGACCUCGAUGUUGGAUCAGGACUUCCUAAUGGUGCAGCCGCUAUUAAGGGUUCGUUUGUUCAACGAUUAAAGUCCUACGUGAUCUGAGUUCAGACCGGAGAAAUCCAGGUCAGUUUCUAUCUAUGGAUAGCUUCUUCCUAGUACGAAAGGACCGGAAGAAGAGGGCCCAUGCUGUGAGUAAGCCCUCCCCCCACCUAGUGCCACCCACUAAAGAAGGUAAAGGGGCUUACCCCGACCGCCCGAGAAAAAAAAGGCAA
rnacentral:rRNA from 1 species